UUGUAUAUAUAAUCCGUUCGUCGUAGGUUACAAGAUAUAACCGUCGUUCAGAUUUCGACGAAUCUCAAUCAUAUAACCAAGAGUGGACCGAAAAGGCAAAUGCGAAUAGCCAAUGGCAGGAGCAGUUUGCACAAUGGAGUCUUAAUUCACAAAACAACUAAUUCGUCUCAGUGGACCAGUGAAGGCAGAGCUGGAGGCAGCUGAUACGACGAUACGAAGAAGACGACUCUCGCUUAGCUUUUUACCCUAAUUCUUAUUUUGACUUAGAGCAAUUUAUUUAUUGAUUAUUUUAUGGAGUAGUCGUAGCCUACACUACCUUAAUCCCUCCAAUAUAUUUAUAUGAUUAUUUUAUGCAAACACACGGUAGACAGUAAAGAAGCAAUGAAUAA